UAGUCUAUACUGAAAAUCAACCCUAUCAACCCUGAACAGAAGUUGGCAGUUGGUGAUUGAAGACGAAGAAAGCUGUGAGGUGGUGCUUCUUCAACUCCUUCUUCAUUCUGAUCAUUUUUUCAUUUACCGGGGGGCGGGGCAGCGGUGUGAGCCCCGAGAGGGCCUCUCACUUCUGGCACCAAGUGUCCGGUGAUGUGUCGGAUGCGUCCCACUCUGGGGACGGCGGGAAGUGGGGAGUUUGAGUGGGAUGGUGCACCUCUCAAAGCAUGAGGUGAGCUCAGGGAGGAUAGAAACCUCCUCCGGAGCAGAAGGGCAAGAACUUGCUUGAUCUCCAUUUUCAGUAUGAAUACAGACUGUGAAAGUGGGGUGUCACAAUCAUUCUGGCUUGUUGAGUUUUAACCAGAAGGUGUCAAAAAGGUUACCACAGGGAUAACUGGCUUGUGGUGGCCAAGUGUUCACGGUGACGUCACUUUUUGAUCCUUUAAUGUCAGCUCUUCCUAUAAUUGUGAAACAGAAUUCACCAGGUGUUGGAUUGUUCACCCGCUAAGAAGGAACGUGAGCUGGGUUUAGACUGUUGUGAGACAGGUUAGUUUUACCCUGCUGCUGAUGUGUUGUUGCAGUAGCAAUCCCGCUCAGCAGGAGAGGAACCACAGGUUCAGACCCCUGGUGCGGGUGCUUGGCUGGGGAGCAACUAGCAGGAGGCUACCAUCUGCAGGCUCAUGACCAAACACCUCUAAGUCAGAAUCCCACCUAGACGUAGCGAUACUGCAGCGCCGCUGGUGCCUCAGUGGGCUCACAAUAGCUGGCCGCCCAGGACCCAGUACAGGACUGGUGGGGUGGACAGAUGCAACAUCACCUCUUCCUGUCAUGUACCACAUGUUCGUGGGGCACCGGGUGCUAAAUUGUAGAUAACCUGAUUCUAUAUCAGGGUUUUGUACACGGCGUAGCAGCUCCCUUGCUGUCUUCCAUUGAGGGUCAGCCCUUGACACAAGCUUUU
rnacentral:ncRNA from 1 species